CCCCGCCGCACCCAGGGAGCCCGGGCCCCGCCUCCCUUCCACACCCGAGGCGCCGCAGAGCGGGCAGCCCGGGGAGCCGCGCAGGUGUCGGUGUAAGGCGGGAGCCCAGGGUCGGCGGCCGGUCACAGCCAGGUAGGGCUGUGGGAGCUGCAGGCCCGUCAGGGCGGCAAGUGCCCUGGCCCCAGGUGUGCCCGUGGGCAGGUCGGCUCGGCGCCAAGCCGCAGAGGACAAAUAAGUUCUCCCACAAGUCACGGGGAAAGAAUCAGAGAGCAGUUCGUCUUACUGCAACACAAAGCACCCUGGGUUAUGCCCCCUGAACUCCUAAGGGGACACACAGAGAAUGCAACACCAGCGAGGACACAAAUUCAGGAUAUGAAGGCAGCAGCAAGAUUGGCCUGUGCUGAGUCAAGUCUCCCAUUCUAACCUGCAAGAUCAACUAGCUUCUCUUUCCUGUUCACUUACGAAGGCUGCCUUCAAUACAAAGGUGGAAAUUCUUCCAUGAGGAUUAUGCAGCCCUUUGGGGGUUAAAGCACUUCAACAGGGUUACAAACAUCUAACUCAAUGCAGAAUUUGUCCAAAGACGUUUACCCGGCAU